rnacentral:rRNA from 1 species
AACGAACGCUGGCGGCAUGCCUAACACAUGCAAGUCGAACGAGACCUUCGGGUCUAGUGGCGCACGGGUGCGUAACGCGUGGGAACCUGCCCUUAGGUUCGGAAUAACUCCCCGAAAGGGGUGCUAAUACCGGAUAAUGUCUUCGGACCAAAGAUUUAUCGCGUUUGGAUGGGCCCGCGUUGGAUUAGCUAGUUGGUAGGGUAAAAGCCUACCAAGGCGACGAUCCAUAGCUGGUCUGAGAGGAUGAUCAGCCACACUGGGACUGAGACACGGCCCAGACUCCUACGGGAAGCAGCAGUGGGGAAUAUUGGACAAUGGGGGAAAGCCUGAUCCAGCAAUGCCGCGUGAGUGAUGAAGGCCUUAGGGUUGUAAAGCUCUUUUACCCGGGAUGAUAAUGACAGUACCGGGAGAAUAAGCACCGGCUAACUCCGUG